AUUGAACGCUGGCGGCAGGCCUAACACAUGCAAGUCGAACGAGUGGCGGACGGGAGAGUUAUGUCUGGGAAUCUGCCUGCUGGAUGGGGAUAACUACUGGAAACGGUAGCUAAUACCGCAUACCAUCAGAUGUGCCCAGUUGGGUUUAGCUUGUUGGUGGGGUAACGGCUGACCAAGGCGACGAUCCCUAGCUGGUCUGAGAGGAUGACCAGCCACACUGGAACUGAGACACGGUCCAGACUCCUACGGGAGGCAGCAGUGGGGAAUAUUGCACAAUGGGCGAAAGCCUGAUGCAGCCAUGCCGCGUGUGUGAAGAAGGCCUUCGGGUUGUAAAGUACUUUCAGCGGGGAGGCGUUACCCACAGAAGAAGCACCGGCUAACUCCGUGCCAGCAGCCGCGGUAAUUC
rnacentral:rRNA from 1 species